UUAUGUAGGACAGACGAAUAGACAACUAAAGACGAGAAUAAAUGAACAUCGUAGUCAUAUCAGACAUAAUACAUCUGUGAGAUCGGUCCAGAUGGAGGUUGUGCUAUCGCUGCCUGUCACGCUUGAGCAAACAUUGGCUUGAAGAUGAUUGAAAUUCGCCCUAGGCGUGGCAAAAACUGUGGUUAGAGGAUCGUUUAUGUGUAAGACUCAUACACGUGUUCACGGAGGGAAUAAUUAGAAUAGCAUGUCGAGGGUGAUACAUGUUUGGUGAUAAUGUUGACGGAACAUCUUGAUCAAAACGCAUC